CUCCGGCUUAAGGGACCCGCGCCGAGCUCGAGGCGCCGCACACGGACCUCGACGGGGCUCUCGGCUCGGGGCCGCUCCGCGCGGUACACCUUCCGUCGAGGAGACGCCUGCCGGCAAGGGUGUUUACUAAAGUAAGCAAUGAUCUGCAGCUGUCUGGAGCCUGAGUGGCAGAUUCAUCCAGCUUAUUGGGCACAGGGGUGGGUUACACCCCAAAGGCUGCUGCUGCGGGACGCCUGGACAACAUGUGGACCUCCUCCACACCUGAGAGCCGAAGGGAGCUCAGUAAAUGAUCCAGCGGGUCAAGGCGGAGCCUGCAGCACGUCCUGCCCUUCUGCCUCAGCAGUGCUCGCUGAGUCCUGUCACUUCCCCUCCAGGUCCCUGCUGGGCCUGCACGUCUGCUUCUCUCUGGAUCCACUGAGGCCACCACCACUUCUGGCCUUGUCUGUGACAGCAGCCGCCUCACUGCCUGGCUUUUGGAUCACCAGACUGGAGUUUGAGUCUGCAUUCUGCUGCAGGUUAGCUGAGCGACCUUGGAUAGGGCUCUUCAGCUCGCUGAGCCUCAGCUGCUUCAUCUGUAAAAUGGGGUAA
rnacentral:lncRNA from 1 species